UAGUCCACACCGUAAACGCUGUCUACUAGCUGUUUGUGAGUUUAACUCGUGAGUAGCGAAGCUAACGCGCUAAGUAGACCGCCUGGGGAGUACGGUCGCAAGAUUAAAACUCAAAUGAAUUGACGGGGGCCCGCACAAGCGGUGGAGCAUGUGGUUUAAUUCGAUGCAACGCGAAGAACCUUACCUACACUUGACAUUCAGAGAACUUACUAGAGAUAGUUUGGUGCCUUCGGGAGCUCUGGGACAGGUGCUGCAUGGCUGUCGUCAGCUCGUGUCGUGAGAUGUUGGGUUAAGUCCCGCAACGAGCGCAACCCUCGCCUUUAGUUGCCAGCAUUUAGUUGGGUACUCUAAAGGAACCGCCGGUGAUAAGCCGGAGGAAGGUGGGGAUGGACGUCGGAAGUCCUCACGGGCCCUUACGUCCUGGGGCUACACACGUGCUACAAUGGUAGAGACAGA
rnacentral:rRNA from 1 species